UACGAAGGGGGCUAGCGUUGUUCGGAAUUACUGGGCGUAAAGCGCGCGCAGGCGGCCUUCCAAGUCAGUGGUGAAAGCCCGGAGCUCAACUCCGGAACUGCCAUUGAAACUGUUAGGCUUGAGGACGAGAGAGGUGAGUGGAAUUCCCAGUGUAGAGGUGAAAUUCGUAGAUAUUGGGAAGAACACCGGUGGCGAAGGCGGCUCACUGGCUCGUUUCUGACGCUCAGGCGCGACAGCGUGGGGAUCAAACAGG
rnacentral:rRNA from 1 species